rnacentral:lncRNA from 1 species
UCCUAUUCUCUGCAAGGCAUCACCCAAAUGAAAGUAAAAUCGUCCAUCAUCUGUGCCAGGGUCACCAGACUCUAGUCCUUCCUUUAGAUAAGGUAUGCUCUCUGCUAUCUUGUUUUCGGCCUUCAGGAUGAAGCCAUAGUGUACUUUGGCAAAGCCAUCAUCUGGAGCCAUGCGUAGAACCUCUUCAUACACUUGCUUGGCAUUGCUGUUAUC